UACGAAGGGGGCAAGCGUUGUUCGGAAUUACUGGGCGUAAAGGGCGCGUAGGCGGCUUGCCAAGUCAGGCGUGAAAUUCCCGGGCUCAACCUGGGGGCUGCGCUUGAUACUGGUGAGCUUGAAUGCGGGAGAGGAUAGUGGAAUUCCCAGUGUAGAGGUGAAAUUCGUAGAUAUUGGGAGGAACACCGGUGGCGAAGGCGGCUAUCUGGCCCGUAAUUGACGCUGAGGCGCGAAAGCGUGGGGAGCAAAC
rnacentral:rRNA from 1 species